AUGCAGAGCCUCCUGCAAAUACUUGUGGGGAUGCUGGGGUUGCAGGCAGCCUGGGUCAGCAGCCAAGAACUGUGGCAGAAUCAGUCUCUGGUCACCCAAGAGGGAGAAAAUCUCACCAUAGAUUGCAAUUCAUCAAGGACUUUAUAUGUCUUGCACUGGUAUAGACAGAAUGGUGGAGGUCCUGUCUUCUUGAUGAUGCUACAGAAAGCUGGGGAUGAAAAGAGUCAUGGAAACAUAACUGCCAAGUUGGAUGAGAAAAAGCAGCAAAGUUCCCUGCAUAUCACAGGUGCCCAGCCCAGCCACUCGGGCACCUACUUCUGUGCGGGAAGUGCACAGUGA